rnacentral:rRNA from 1 species
GAUGAACGCUGGCGGCGUGCCUAAUACAUGCAAGUCGAGCGAACAGACGAGGAGCUUGCUCCUCUGACGUUAGCGGCGGACGGGUGAGUAACACGUGGAUAACCUACCUAUAAGACUGGGAUAACUUCGGGAAACCGGAGCUAAUACCGGAUAAUAUAUUGAACCGCAUGGCUCAAUAGUGAAAGACGGUUUUGCUGUCACUUAUAGAUGGAUCCGCGCCGCAUUAGCUAGUUGGUAAGGUAACGGCUUACCAAGGCAACGAUGCGUAGCCGACCUGAGAGGGUGAUCGGCCACACUGGAGCUGGGACACGGUCCAGACUCCUACGGGAGGCAGCAGUAGGGAAUCUUCCGCAAUGGGCGAAAGCCUGACGGAGCAACGCCGCGUGAGUGAUGAAGGUCUUCGGAUCGUAAAACUCUGUUAUUAGGGAAGAACAAAUGUGUAAGUAACUAUGCACGUCUUGACGGUACCUAAUCAGAAAGCCACGGCUAACUACGUG